rnacentral:rRNA from 1 species
AUUGAACGCUGGCGGAAUGCUUUACACAUGCAAGUCGAACGGCAGCACGGACUUCGGUCUGGUGGCGAGUGGCGAACGGGUGAGUAAUGUAUCGGAACGUGCCCAGUCGUGGGGGAUAACGUAGUGAAAAUUACGCUAAUACCGCAUACGAGCGAUGGAUGAAAGCGGGGGAUCGCAAGACCUCGCGCGAUUGGAGCGGCCGAUAUCAGAUUAGGUAGUUGGUGGGGUAAAGGCCCACCAAGCCAACGAACUGUAGCUGGUCUGAGAGGACGACCAGCCACACUGGAACUGAGACACGGUCCAGACUCCUACGGGAGGCAGCAGUGGGGAAUUUUGGACAAUGGGCGAAAGCCUGAUCCAGCCAUUCCGCGUGCAGGAUGAAGGCCCUCGGGUUGUAAACUGCUUUUGUACAGAACGAAAAGGUUUCUACUAAUACUAGGAGCUCAUGACGGUACUAUAAGAAUAAGCACCGGCUAACUACGUGCCAGCCGCCGCGGUAA